AAUAGCAAAAAUUCUUUUUAAAGUUAAAAGGUAGUACUGUUCGAUGUCAUUCAUCAAAAUACUUAAAUAAAUUUUGAUCCGACACAACAAAAUCAUAAAUUUAGGCCAUUUUUGGGCAAUCUAACUUCAAAUAUUUCGAUAACCUGAUGUGAUAAACAAAUUCUGUCAUCAAUAUCGGAUUCAACGCAAAAUUACAUAGGAAAUCACUCCUUCAUAAUCAUUUGAAACAUCACAGAUGGAACAUAAGUUGCGUACACGAUAAAAUUGAAAGGACUAAGAAUCUACUGAAUGAUGCAAAAUAUCGUUGCACGAUACAAGUCAUUUUACGUACAGUACGACUCUUACAUAAAAGACAUCAGGGUGUAAUGCAAAAACGUAUUAUGCAAAUCUUUAAUCGUCUCCAUAUACAUUCGGCGUAAAGAGUUAAAUUUAAUUGCACCAAUAUAAUUCUUAUUACUGUCGGUGUCUCGGUGUAAAAAUGAGAACUCGUUUAAUCAUCCCUAAUACGCGACGUAUACAACGAUGUGGAUUAAGCGCGGCGAGAAGAAGCGGGGAAUUAGAAUAUCCCCGUCUCCGGGUGAAUUUCUUAGGUGAAAGCGAAGAGGGCGAGCGACUUCCCAAGAUACUCCUCGUUCUCAGCAUUAUCCAGAGCUUCCGACGAAAUUAUUACGGGCUGAAGAGAAGUUUCGAAGGAAAUGCAAGAUGCAGAAAUUAUGCAUUCGUGUCUUCUGUGCGUUGCCGGCAUGAAGGAACGAAGCGAUAAAACGCGUAGUGAAUCAUAGACGCUUCGCGGCCGGGAAGAACGGAAUUGGAUGUUCGUGCAAUGGUUUUACGAGGAGGCGCCUUCGAGAUGUAGGUCAGGACGAAAAGGGGGAAGAACUGACCCAGCAGAAAUGCGAGUACGGCAAGCGUGCCAGCGGUUUGUCGCGCGGAACGGAGGAAAGAAAGAAAACGAGAAAUAACGAAAAAGUCUAUUGUAUUCUGGGAAAACUCACCUGCAACAAACAGAAUCAUAUAACAAGUAGAUAAUUGACUAUAUAAAAGAUCCACGCGUGCUAAAAAUAUAAAUGU